rnacentral:lncRNA from 1 species
GAAAAAAAAACUAGUAUCAAUGCUGGUGUGAUUUGGUAGAUUGUAGAAGAAAAACAUUAGUAUAGAUACAGGAACAAUUUGAGAGGUUGAAAAAAGAAAAAUAGUACAAAUGCUGGUAUAAUUUCAUAAAAAUAAAAAAUCACUAUAAAUAUUAGCAUGAUUUUGGAGGUUAAAGAAGAAAAAAAACCAAUAUAAAUGUUUGU